GUUGGUUCCGUUAUAGGAGUCCUAAACCCAAAUUUCAUAAAAGAAAGCAAUCCGGAAGAGGUAAGUUUUACAGUUGAUCAUCACCAGAAAAUCCUUCAUAUUGGAGGUUCUAAGGAUUUGGGUUGGUGUCGUGCAACUCGUAAAGACGGAAGUAAAUGUACUUCCUUUGUA